AUCUCAACUAUUUUGACAUAAUUUUAAUUGACAUGUGUGUUUGACAUAAUUUUAAUUGACAUUUUAAUCAUCCUCUCUAUGACGUUCUUCCCCCAAAAGUCCCUCGUCCUUUAAGUGUUAAAUGUUUGUUAAUGUUUGUGUUUAGUCCAUAUUGUAGAUUUUUAUGUAAAUAUGUAGAAUGUAAUAAGAUCAAAUUGUAAUAUUGUUUAUAUAUUUUGUUUAUUAAUAUAUGUUAUUUGUGUUGUUUUAGGUUAAGAACUAACAAAAUAAUAUCAUUUAAUAUUAUAGAUAUAAUAUAAUAGAUUCUCAAAAUUAAAUUUGUCAGCCUUCACCGAACAAUCUCCAUCGUGCCUCCUCCAUCUAUUCGACACUGGCGAGAUAAACAGUGCCCAGUUGGCACGAAUGAAAGCCAUAAAAAAGAAUUGAAUUGAACAUUUAACUGAGAGUCCGAUCGAUGUCACCAAAUCCGGCUGUUGGACGCAGUGAAGAUCGACCGAUUCAAUCUGACGAGCCCAUGACAUGCGACGAAUCUUAAGCUGAAAUAAUCGCCAUUAACUCAAAACUUUGGGUUUUAUGCUGCAUAUCUUAGAUAUGCAACAUAAAAACUAAAGUUUUAAGUAUUUUGAUCCCAUAGUUUAUAAUAAUUUUUAAUUAAAUUACAAAAAAUAAAAUUAAUAAUUAUGUGUAGUGUAAGGAUACAGGAUAUAUUGGGAUAUAUUUCAUCAUUAUCCACCCUUAUUCGGCUCACUGCUGAGCAAAAGUCUCCUCUCAGAAUGAGAGGGGUUAGGCCAAUAGUCCACCACGCUGGCCCAAUGCGGAUUGGCAGACUUCACACACGCAGAGAAUUAAGAAAAUUCUCUGAUAAGCAGGUUUCCUCACGAUGUUUUUCCUUCCCCGUUAGAGACAUGUGAUAUUUAAUUUCUGAAAAUGAACACAAUUGAAAAGUUGAAGGUGCAUGCGCCGGACCGGAUUUUUUUUUUAUUUUUUAUUUUUUUUAAAUAGAGUUGCGCUUGACUACAAUCAUGCCUGGUGGAAAGCAACGAUGAGGGUCUAGGUUGGAGCGCGCUUGCCUAGAAAAUUCAUCCGAACCUACGCCCUCCGCACGGCUAGAUUUGGUAUUGAAUAUUUUUGAUGUAUGACUUUACCUCGUCUAUACCUAGUCCCCUUCAAAAAACGAUUCAAUUUUGUUGGUUGUGAUUCGUCUGAGAUAAUUACAGACGCUAUGGUUUAAUAAAAUAAUAAAAAAACGGAAUGAUAAGAUUAUUGUAUUUAAUUACGCUUCUAAUGUAAUUUUGUAUGUAAAUUUAAUUAUUUACCUUGUUGAAUUUAUAAAAUAGGUGUGCUAGCCUAGGUAAGUAUGUAUUUUUUAUUUUUUUUAAUUAAUCAUAAAAAAAUUAAAAUCAUAAUUAGGAUAAGUUUUAAUAAGUAAUACGGAAUUUUAAAUCAGAUGUUAAUAAGCUUUUUAACUUUUUUUUUUACUAUAACUAGCAGUGAUAUUAGAUACUUUUUAACCGAUUUCCAAAAAGGAGGAGGUCAUUCGGCUGUACGAUUAAGUGUGUUUUUAUAUUAUUUAUGAUUAAUAAAGUUUAAUUAUGGUAAUAAAAUAAAAUUCUUUGUAUUG